GAUUGGACUUUAUCUUCUCGUUCUGAUUGGUUAUUCUAAGACUUGCUCUCAUCCAAUCAGAACAUGAAAAUAAAGUUCAAUU
rnacentral:miRNA from 1 species